rnacentral:rRNA from 1 species
GCAGUGAGGAAUAUUGGUCAAUGGACGAGAGUCUGAACCAGCCAAGUAGCGUGAAGGAUGACUGCCCUAUGGGUUGUAAACUUCUUUUAUAAGGGAAUAAAGUGAGGGACGUGUCCCUUUUUGUAUGUACCUUAUGAAUAAGGAUCGGCUAACUCCGUGCCAGCAGCCGCGGUAAUACGGAGGAUCCAAGCGUUAUCCGGAUUUAUUGGGUUUAAAGGGAACGUAGGUUGACAUAUAAGUCAGCUGUGAAAGUUUACGGCUCAACCGUGAAAUUGCAGUUGAUACUGUAUGUCUUGAGUGUACAAGAGGUGGGCGGAAUUCGUGGUGUAGCGGUGAAAUGCUUAGAUAUCACGAAGAACUCCAAUUGCGAAGGCAGCUCACUGGGGUACAACUGACACUGAGGCUCGAAAGUGUGGGUAUCAAACAGGAUUAGAUACCCUGGUAGUCCACACAGUAAACGAUGAAUACUCGCUGUUUGCGAUAUACAGUAAGCGGCCAAGCGAAAGCAUUAAGUAUUCCACCUGGGGAGUACGCCGGCAACGGUGAAACUCAAAGGAAUUGACGGGGGCCCGCACAAGCGGAGGAACAUGUGGUUUAAUUCGAUGAUACGCGAGGAACCUUACCCGGGCUUGAAUUGCAGAGGAACAUAGUUGAAAGAUUAUGGCCGCAAGGUCUCUGUGAAGGUGCUGCAUGGUUGUCGUCAGCUCGUGCCGUGAGGUGUCGGCUUAAGUGCCAUAACGAGCGCAACCCUUAUCAUUAGUUACUAACAGGUCAUGCUGAGGACUCUAGUGAGACUGCCGUCGUAAGAUGUGAGGAAGGUGG